UACGGAGGUGGCAAGCGUUGUUCGGAAUUACUGGGCGUAAAGGGCGCGCAGGCGGCAAGGCAAGUCAGGUGUGAAAGCCCCGAGCUUAACUCGGGAAUUGCAUCUGAAACUGCUGUGCUUGAGUUCUGGAGGGGGUAGUGGAAUUCCCAGUGUAGCGGUGAAAUGCGUAGAUAUUGGGAGGAACACCUGCGGCGAAGGCGGCUACCUGGACAGAAACUGACGCUGAGGCGCGAAAGCUAGGGGAGCGAACGGG
rnacentral:rRNA from 1 species